ensembl:lncRNA
GAGUAACACAGCUGGCGAGUGGACCGCAGUCUGCGUCCGUACUCACAUCCUUGAUUUCAGGCUACAAAAGGGGUACCUUCGUAGCCUAAUUAGCACGAAUGUGAUAGGUUUUUCUUUUGAACUCUGAUGUGUACUUUUGGGCAGAACUAGUUUUGGAGGAUAUGAAGGACUCUAGUAUAAAAGGCAUUGAUGUAAGGCUGUCCACAUAUUGAUUCACGUGAUCCUCAAGAUAACAUUAUGAAGUUAUAUCUUGAUAAAGUUGAAUAGACAGAGAAGAAGGAAGAGAAAAAUGAGCAGAAGGAGGAAGGGGAACCCGUGGAGCUCAACUACAAUUUGCUUGGCCUUCCUAAUGAAAGUGUUUUUAUAUCAUUCUCAGGGAACAGAGGAACACAGCUCUGGAAGACUCUGAAUGCCCAGUAUUGGAUGUCAGCUCUACAAAAUAGGGUACAGACGUCAAUCUGACCAGUCAAUAAUUAUUGAGACCAGCUGAAUAAUCAUAAAUAGGUCUUCUCCAAUUGCAAUCACUGUAGCCAUCUCUCAAGCAACCGCAAUAUGAAGUUCUGACUUGCAUCUAUUGCAAUUUUUUUGCUAUGAUCUAUUUGGAGAAUCAGUCUCCUUCUUGGCUUUUUCUCAGGAACUAUUCCCCAAAAGUCUGAGCUGUUACCUGAGUGUAAGAGAAUAUUCUGCUACUAGCAGGCAUAAUAGUGGAGAAAGCGAUUUAGGGAAAACAUACACUGACUCUUCUCUUUACAUUAUAUUGCCAGAAGAGUACAUCCAUAACAUUUUCAGUUAUGACAUGUCCCAUUGGACUCAUCCACAUACUGGAAAAAUUUACCUCAGAGUCUAGCUAUUAUUGUGAGACAAUUUAAUUUUUGCAAAAUAAUUCUUUCUAAAAUUUCUAAAGUAAAUCUUUAAAUUCUUAAUAUAUUUUUCCUAAAAGUAAUUUCUACAGACACUAUAUAAACACAUAAAGUUUUAUUUUUCAAAAAAAAUUGAGUGUAUUUUAUGCUAUAUUCUGGUGAUGUCUGUUUCACUAGAAAAAUUCAUGUUAUUCAGGAUGUGACGCAGAGAAAUAUUAAGAGUUACCUCUAAACUGACUUGUAUCAGAGAUCUCAUCCAUUAUCACUCAUUGCUUCCUUGAGUUUCUAGUGAUUAAUCAUGUCUAAUUAUUUAUUGAUUACAGGCAUAGCUCACUUUUAUUGCUCUUCGCUUUCUUGUGCUUCAGAGAUAUGCAGUUUGUACAAAUUGAAAGUUUGUGACAGUCCUGUCAAACAAGUCCAUUGGCACUGUUUUUCCAACAGCAUUUGCUCACUUCAUGUCUCUCAGUCAUGAUGUGGUAAUUUUUACAAUAUGUCAAGCUUAUUAAUUCUUAUUAUAUUUGUUAUGGUGACCUGUGAUCAGUGAUCAUUGAUGUUUCUAUUGUAAUUGUUUUGGGGCGCCACUCUCUGCACCCAUGUAAGAGUUAAUCAUUAAAUAUUGUGUGUGUUCUGACUGCUCCACCGACUGGCUCUUCCUCCUCUCUCUCCCUCUCACCCAGCCUCCCUAUUCCUUGAGACCCAGCAAUUUUGAAAUUAGGCCAAUUAAUAACCCUACUGUGGUCUCUAAGUGUUCAAGUGAAAGGAAGUGUCUCAUGUCUCUCACUUUAAAUCAAAAGCUAGAAAUGAUUAAGCUUAGUGUGGAAGACAUGUCAAAAGCUGAAAUAAGCUGAAAGCUAGGCCUCUUGCACCAAACAGUUACCCAAGUUGUGAAUGCAAAGGAAAAGUUCUUGAAGGAAAUUGAAAGUCCUAUUCCAGUGAACACACAAAUGAUGAGAAAGAGAAACAGCCUUAUUGCUGAUAGGGAGAAAAUUUUAGUAGUCUGGAUGGAAGAUCAAACCAGCCACAACAUUUCUUUAAGCCAAAGCCUAUUUCAGAGCCAGGCCCUAACUCUCAUCAAUUCUAUGAAGGCUGAGA